rnacentral:rRNA from 1 species
UACGUAGGUGGCAAGCGUUGUCCGGCUUUAUUGGGUUUAAAGGGUGCGUAGGCGGUCAUAUAAUUCAGCGGUGAAAUCCGGCAGCUCAACUGUCGAUGUGCCAUUGAUACUGUAUGACUUGAGUACUGAUGAGGUAGGCGGAAUUGACGGUGUAGCGGUGAAAUGCUUAGAUAUCGUCAAGAACAACGAUAGCGAAGGCAGCUUACUAAGCAGUAACUGACGCUGAGGCACGAAAGUGUGGGGAUAAAACAGG